rnacentral:rRNA from 1 species
UACGUAGGGUGCGAGCGUUAAUCGGAAUUACUGGGCGUAAAGCGCGCGUAGGCCGGCUUUGCAAGUCGGGUGUGAAAUCCCCAGGCUUAACCUGGGAACUGCAUCCGAGACUGCAUUGCUAGAGUAUGGGAGAGGGAAGUGGAAUUUCAGGUGUAGCGGUGAAAUGCGUAGAUAUCUGAAGGAACAUCAGUGGCGAAAGCGACUUCCUGGACCAAUACUGACGCUCAUGUGCGAAAGCGUGGGGAGCAAACAGGAUUAGAAACCC